UUUGUCGGUUUGUGAAUGAGCUACCACCUUCUUUUGCUGUGCGUUUUCAAUUUUGCUUGCAGCUCGCGUGACUCACAUUUGUUUUCAUUGUAGCUACAGCUUGGUUCUUUUUGUUUUAUUAGAAAAAAGGAUAAAAGACAUGGUGAGAUAAAAGAGAUGGAUAACUUGUUUAAUAUGGAUUAAUUGGAUUUUGUGAGAUAAAAGAAAUGGAUAUGGGUUAACAUGGAUUAAUUGGAUUUUGUGAGAUAAAAGAGAUGGAUAUAUAAAAAAAAUGGAUCAUGGUUAAAUUGGAUUGUGUUAAAAUCAAACUAAAUGGAUUAUGGAUUAUGAUUUGGAUAAUAAAAUGGAAUUAUUUGGAAAAUGG
rnacentral:lncRNA from 1 species